GAUCCUGGCUCAGGAUGAACGCUAGCUACAGGCUUAACACAUGCAAGUCGAGGGGGCGAGCAUGGUCUUAGCUUGCUAAGGCCGAUGGCGACCGGCGCACGGGUGAGUAACACGUAUCCAACCUGCCGUCUACGUCUUGGACAGCCUUCUGAAAGGAAGAUUAAUACAAGAUGGCAUCAUGAGUUCACAAUGUUCACAUGAUUAAAGGUAUUCCGGUAGUACGAUGGGG
rnacentral:rRNA from 1 species